GCCCAGCACGGUGGCGCAUGCCUGUAGUCCCAGCUACUCAGGAAGCUGAGGUGGGAGGAUUGCUUGCGCCCAGGAGUUCUGGGCUGCAGUGUGCUAUGCUGAUUGGGUGCCCACACUAAGUUCGGCAUCAAUAUGGUGACCUCCCAGGAAUGGGGGACCACCAGGUUGCCUAAGGAGGGGUGAACAGGCCCAGGUCGGAAACAGAGCAGGUCAAAACUCCCGUGCUGAUCAGUAGUGGAAUCACACCUGUGAAUAGCCACUGCAUUCCAGCCUGGGCAAAUAGCAAGACCCUGUCUCU
rnacentral:SRP_RNA from 1 species